CAUUAUUGAAUAAAACAUGAUAGGCUGUUGCUGGCUCUUUAGAGGCAAUAGUGCACGCUUGUCAUCUUUAUUUUUCCACCUGUGCACCAUUUGUAGAUUCUUAUAAGGAAAUGCUGUGCUGUUUGGCUAGCUUUUUUAAGGAUCUAUGUCAUUUUUUACAUACUCCUAUGAACGUAAUUGAAUGAUUGAUAAGGUUCAAAAAGUACCUAUAAAGUUGUAUACAACUUUCAGCAACGGAUCUCUUGGCUCUCGCAUCGAUGAAGAACGCAGCGAAAUGCGAUAAGUAAUGUGAAUUGCAGAAUUCAGUGAAUCAUCGAAUCUUUGAACGCAUCUUGUGCUCCUUGGUAUUCUGAGGAGCAUGCCUGUUUGAGUGUCACUAAAUUCUCAACUACACUGGUUUCAUUAUCAGUGUAGCUUGGAUUUGAGGGAGGUUAUUUUGCAGGUUUAGUUGUUAAACCCAGCUUCCUUAAAAGUGAUUAGCAGUUAGGACCGUCUACAGGUGUGAUAAAUUUAUAUAUGCCUUUAGUUGUUUGAUGCUGCUUUCUAAAUCUUAUAAUGAUUUAUCUUGACCUCAAAUCAGGUAGGACUACCCGCUGAACUUAAGCAUAUCAAUAAGCGGAGGAAAAGAAACUAACAAGGAUUCCCUUAGUAACUGCGAGUGAAGUGGGAAAAGCUCAAAUUUAAAAUCUGGCAGUCAUUUGGCUGUCUGAGUUGUAAUCUAGAGAAGUGUUGCCCGUGCUGUACCAUGUACAAGUCUCCUGGAAUGGAGCAUC
rnacentral:rRNA from 1 species